CCUACGGGAGGCAGCAGUGGGGAAUUUUGGACAAUGGGCGCAAGCCUGAUCCAGCAAUGCCGCGUGCAGGAUGAAGGCCUUCGGGUUGUAAACUGCUUUUGUACGGAGCGAAACGGUCUGCUUUAAUACAGUGGGCUAAUGACGGUACCGUAAGAAUAAGCACCGGCUAACUACGUGCCAGCAGCCGCGGUGAUACGUAGGGUGCAAGCGUUAAUCGGAAUUACUGGGCGUAAAGCGUGCGCAGGCGGUUAUAUAAGACAGAUGUGAAAUCCCCGGGCUCAACCUGGGACCUGCAUUUGUGACUGUAUAGCUAGAGUACGGUAGAGGGGGAUGGAAUUCCGCGUGUAGCAGUGAAAUGCGUAGAUAUGCGGAGGAACACCGAUGGCGAAGGCAAUCCCCUGGACCUGUACUGACGCUCAUGCACGAAAGCGUGGGGAGCAAACAGGAUUAGAUACCCUGGUAGUCCACGCCCUAAACGAUGUCAACUGGUUGUUGGGUCUUCACUGACUCAGUAACGAGCUAACGCGUGAAGUUGACCGCCUGGGGUAGUUACGGCGCGAGUUAGUAACGACGAGAGUAGAGGCGNGAGACGNGCGACGGACGACGACGAGGGAGGAGG
rnacentral:rRNA from 1 species